rnacentral:rRNA from 1 species
AUUGCCUCAGUAACGGCGAGUGAAGCGGCAAAAGCUCAAAUUUGAAAUCUGGCGCCCGCCCGAAUUGUAAUUUGAAGAAGCGACUUUGGACCUGGCUCUUGUCUAAGUUCCUUGGAACAGGACGUCAUAGAGGGUGAGAAUCCCGUUAGAUGAGAUGCCCAGGGCCGUGUAAAGCGUUUUCGACGAGUCGAGUUGUUUGGGAAUGCAGCUCUAAGUGGGUGGUAAAUUCCAUCUAAAGCUAAAUAUUGGCGAGAGACCGAUAGCGAACAAGUACAGUGAUGGAAAGAUGAAAAGAACUUUGAAAAGAGAGUGAAAAAGUACGUGAAAUUGUUGAAAGGGAAGGGCUUGUGAUCAGACUUUGCAUUUCUAUGGCUUCCUUUCGGGGGGGUCCUCUGGAGUUGUAGGGCCAGCAUGGGUUGGAGGGGUGAGAUAAUGGGGAAGGAAUGUGGCUCUGCCUCGGUAGAGUGUUAUAUCCUUUUCUGAUGUCACCACCUUCGACCGAGGACUGCGGUACUAGGAUGCUGGCAUAAUGAUUAUAAGCCGCCCGUCUUG